AGCAACUCUGUCACAGUUCUUUGACAACUAUUUUGAUGUUAGACAGAUAUGGUUAUUUCUCUCUGCUCUUCAUUCUGAUUUCUUAUGAAGAAAUCCCUGAUAUUUCAGGGAGGUUUAAAACUGCAUAGAUAUAAGUGCUGUGAAACAGAGUAGAUGGUGAAAUAAGCAUCAUAUUUUCCUUUAUAUUUAAAAUACAUUCACAGAGAGUGUUUGUUGUUUCAUUUGUUUGUUUGUAUGUUUGUUUCUCCAAGGUAAAUAUUGUGCUGGGGUUUUUGUUUGUGUGUUUGGUUUUGUUUUUUAUAUAUAAAUAUUAACAUUCUGUGCAAGCGUUCAGCAAUGGGCACAGCCUUGGGCCACACGUUGGGAGCAAGGCACUGCUUCUUCUUGUCGUGCCGAAGAUGACUCUGCCAGACCGCAAACCAAGGAGCACAGCACGAGAGCCUUGGUCUUGUCAUCAUGGUACAGAUGUGCUUACUGGAUGAAGCACAUACCAAUGUAUGCUCAGGAAGGACCUGUCUCAACUAUGCUUUACAAAACUGCAACAGAUAUGGUCCUAAUUUCUUCUUUCAGUUCUUGGUCCAAGUAGAAAUAAGAAAAAUUACAUCACUUACAAGAAUGGCACUGUUGAUAAACAGAUACCUCACCCUUGUCCAGCCAUUCCACCUAACCCACCUGCGAACAAGAUCAAAGACAUUUUGAAUCAACUUUUGUUUAUG
rnacentral:lncRNA from 1 species